UACGGGGGGGGCAAGCGUUGUUCGGAAUUACUGGGCGUAAAGGGCUCGUAGGCGGCCAACUAAGUCCGACGUGAAAUCCCCAGGCUUAACCUGGGAACUGCGUCGGAUACUGGACGGCUUGAAUUCGGGAGAGGGAUGCAGAAUUCCAGGUGUAGCGGUGAAAUGCGUAGAUAUCUGGAGGAAUACCGGUGGCGAAGGCGGCAUCCUGGACCGACAUUGACGCUGAGGAGCGAAAGCUAGGGGAGCAAACGGG
rnacentral:rRNA from 1 species